AGGAACAUUCAACGCUGUCGGUGAGUUUUGGUGAAAAAUUAAACCAUCGACCGUUGACUGUACCU
ensembl:miRNA